AACGAACGCUGGCGGCAUGCCUAACACAUGCAAGUCGAACGCUUGCAGAAAUGCAAGAGUGGCGGACGGGUGAGGAACGCGUGGGAACCUGCCCCUCAGUAAGGAAUAACACCGGGAAACUGGUGCUAAUACCUUAUAUUGCUCGAAGAUCGCAAACGAUCUCCGAGUGAAAGAUCUAUCGCUGAGGGAGGGGCCCGCGUCCGAUUAGCUAGUUGGUAGGGUAAAGGCCUACCAAGGCGACGAUCCAUAGCUGGUCUGAGAGGACGAUCAGCCACACUGGGAUUGAGACACGGCCCAGACUCCUACGGGAGGCAGCAGUGGGGAAUAUUGGACAAUGGGCGAAAGCCUGAUCCAGCAAUACCGCGUGUGUGAAGAAGGCCUGAGGGUUGUAAAGCACUUUCAAUUGGGAGGAAAAAAGGUAAGUUUAAUACGCUUACCCUUGACAUUACCUUUAGAAGAAGCACCGGCUAACUCCGUGCCAGCAGCCGCGGUAAUACGGAGGGUGCGAGCGUUAAUCGGAAUUACUGGGCGUAAAGCGUGCGUAGGCGGCCUGUUAAGUCAGAUGUGAAAGCCCUGGGCUCAACCUGGGAACGGCAUUUGAAACUGGCAAGCUAGAGUUAGGUAGAGGGAAGUGGAAUUUCAGGUGUAGCGGUGAAAUGCGUAGAUAUCUGAAGGAACACCAGUGGCGAAGGCGGCUUCCUGGACCCAAACUGACGCUGAGGUACGAAAGCGUGGGUAGCAAACAGGAUUAGAUACCCUGGUAGUCCACGCCGUAAACGAUGUCGACUAGCCGUUGGGCUCUUAUAGAGUUUAGUGGCGCAGCUAACGCAUUAAGUCGACCGCCUGGGGAGUACGGCCGCAAGGUUAAAACUCAAAUGAAUUGACGGGGGCCCGCACAAGCGGUGGAGCAUGUGGUUUAAUUCGAUGCAACGCGAAGAACCUUACCUACCCUUGACAUCCAGAGAAUCUGUUAGAGAUAGUAGAGUGCCUUCGGGAGCUCUGAGACAGGUGCUGCAUGGCUGUCGUCAGCUCGUGUCGUGAGAUGUUGGGUUAAGU
rnacentral:rRNA from 1 species